CCUACGGGGGGCAGCAGUGAGGAAUAUUGGUCAAUGGCCGGAAGGCUGAACCAGCCAUGCCGCGUGAAGGUCAGUGCCCUAUGGGCGUUAAACUUCUUUUGUGCGGGAGCAAUAAUGGUCACGUGUGGCCAGACGAGAGUACCGUACGAAUAAGCAUCGGCUAACUCCGUGCCAGCAGCCGCGGUAAUACGGGGGAUGCAAGCGUUAUCCGGAUUUAUUGGGUUUAAAGGGUGCGUAGGCUGUGAGGUAAGUCAGCGGUGAAAUGCCCCCGCUCACCGGGGUGAAGUGCCAUUGAUACUGCCUGGCUGGAAUGCGGAUGCCGUGGGAGGAAUGUGUGGUGUAGCGGUGAAAUGCAUAGAUAUCACACAGAACACCGAUUGCGAAGGCAUCUCACGAAUCCGCGAUUGACGCUGAUGCACGAAAGCGUGGGUAUCAAACAGGAUUAGAUACCCGGGUAGUC
rnacentral:rRNA from 1 species